rnacentral:rRNA from 1 species
GCCAGCAGCCAUAUCACCCUGCAACUCACAACUGGCAGCCCACUGAAGCUAACCAGGUGUGAGCCUGGUCAGUACCUGAAUGGGAGACCUCCUGGGAAAAACUAAGGUUGCUUUGA